UACGUAGGGUGCGAGCGUUGUCCGGAAUUAUUGGGCGUAAAGGGCUCGUAGGCGGUCUGUCGCGUCGGGAGUGAAAACUCAGGGCUUAACCCUGAGCCUGCUUCCGAUACGGGCAGACUAGAGGUAUGCAGGGGAGAAUGGAAUUCCUGGUGUAGCGGUGAAAUGCGCAGAUAUCAGGAGGAACACCGGUGGCGAAGGCGGUUCUCUGGGCAUUACCUGACGCUGAGGAGCGAAAGUGUGGGGAGCGAACAGG
rnacentral:rRNA from 1 species